rnacentral:rRNA from 1 species
AUUGAACGCUGGCGGCAGGCCUAACACAUGCAAGUCGAGCGGAUGAAGGGAGCUUGCUCCUGGAUUCAGCGGCGGACGGGUGAGUAAUGCCUAUGAAUCUGCCUGGUAGUGGGGGAUAACGUCCGGAAACGGGCGCUAAUACCGCAUACGUCCUGAGGGAGAAAGUGGGGGAUCUUCGGACCUCACGCUAUCAGAUGAGCCUAGGUCGGAUUAGCUAGUUGGUUGGGUAAAGGCCUACCAAGGCGACGAUCCGUAACUGGUCUGAGAGGAUGAUCAGCCACCCUGGAACUGGGACACGGUCCAGACUCCUACGGGAGGCAGCAGUGGGGAAUAUUGGACAAUGGGCGAAAGCCUGAUCCAGCCAUGCCGCGUGUGUGAAGAAGGUCUUCGGAUUGUAAAGCCCUUUAAGUUGGGAGGAAGGGCAGUAAGUUAAUACCUUGCUGUUUUGACGUUACCAACAGAAUAAGCACCGGCUAACUUCGUG